rnacentral:rRNA from 1 species
UCGCCCGUCACGCUGCGACCGAGGCAGGGUCCAGACUCCUACGGGAGGCAGCAGUGGGGAAUAUUGGACAAUGGGCGAAAGCCUGAUCCAGCCAUGCCGCGUGUGUGAAGAAGGCCUUCGGGUUGUAAAGCACUUUCAGUGGGGAGGAAGGCUGUUUAGUUAAUACCUUGAGCAGAUUGACGCUACCGCAGAGAAGAACC